rnacentral:rRNA from 1 species
GCAAGUCGAACGGAAACGAUGGGAGCUUGCUCCUAGGCGUCGAGUGGCGGACGGGUGAGUAAUACUUAGGAAUCUUCCCAUUAGUGGGGGACAACAUUCUGAAACGGAUGCUAAUACCGCAUACGCCCUACGGGGCAAGCGGAGUACCUUUCGGGGCUUCGCGCUAAUGGAUGAGCCUAAGUCGGAUUAGCUUGUUGGUGAGGUAAAGGCUCACCAAGGCGACGAUCCGUAGCUGGUCUGAGAGGACGAUC